AGAAAAGGGUCAUGACUUUGAGAGACAGCAAGGGAGGAGUUGGAGAGAGAAAGUGAGAAAAUAAUGUAACUAUAAUCUCAGAAGACAAAUUUCAAGAAGUAUUUUAAAAGAAUCAAAUGUUGUGACUAUAGCAAGAACCAAAAUUGAGACCUCAUGUUAAAGGAACAUGGAGAACUUUGCCUCUGGAUAACAAGUAUCAACCUACAAUUGGUGUAAAUUCUGGGAUCCCUCCAGAAGAGAUUGUUUUUUCCUCCACUAAGGACAGACACAUCACCUGCUCCUGACAGUAUUAUCCAUCAUGCGGCCUUUGUAUAGCUUUGUGCUGUUCACAGAGCUCUUGCAUGGGUGUGACCUUCUUUGAUUCCUCCCACAACUUCAUGGCCAUGGCUAUCACUUUGUAUGUAUUUGUGCAAAAACCAGGAACAGAACAACCUUGUCCUCUUCAUGAACACAUGGCCUGUGAGAUACAGAGCUAAGGACAGCCAUCUAGUAUUUCCCCUAAGAGAUCAACACCAGGGAUGGAUGGAAAGUCCUGGAGAAUGCAGUGUCCUGGAAUCUUACAGUCUUACAUCGCUGAAACAUAAUGCCACUCAUCCGUGGCAAGAACGUUAACUCCCCAUCUUCUUCAGAAGAAAAGAACAGAGGUAUUUGGAAUAGGAACAGAAGGCUGGGGUUGAGGCUGAGUGAUCAAGCACCUGCCUCCCAGGCUGAAAGCCCUGGGUUCCAUCCCCAGCACCACGAUAAAAACAUUCUAAAAAUUACAAUAAUUAAAGAUAAGCUGGGGGUAUGGCCAUCUCUACUCUAGUCAGUAAUCAAGACUGAGGGCAAAAGAUCUGAGAGGGUGGGUGUGGGACCCACUAAGAAAGAAGAAGUCCUAUGAAACUCCAAAACCACACACAACUACUUCAUCAGAGUCAAGAAAUGGCCCUUAUGCUGUGGUCAUCCUCCUUAGCCCAAGGGAUAGGGUUUCUGUUUUGAGUUUUCUUGACUUUGCUCACAGGUGCUUGAGUUGACCACCCCAUCCCCAGUGUCAUGGAGGGAUGGGGACUAGAGAGAGGUGCUCAGUGAAGCGACUCGACCCUGGUAGCUGAAGUCCCCCUAAGGACCUCACGGAGUAAGGGAGGCCAGCAAUCUGCCCAGUAAGGAGACAGACAGGGGAAAGCCUGCGAGAUGGGCACCAUCAUCUCUACUCUGUGCAUACAGCAGCGUGAGGCCUGAACAGGAAGGGCAGCCCACAGCUGGCCUCACAGCGAGACACCUGAUGAGCAACCAGAAACAUAAAGAAGUAGGAAGACAAAGAAGAGGAGAAGGAAAAUGACAAAGAGGGGGAGGAGCAGAAGAAGCAGGAUCAGCUAGAGGAGAUGGAGCAGAGAGGGGGAGCAGCUGGAGGAGAAGGAGUAACUGGAAAAGGAGGAGCAGCUGGAGGAAGACAAGGAGCUGGAGGAGAAGAAGCAGCUAGAGGAGGAACA
rnacentral:sRNA from 1 species